rnacentral:miRNA from 1 species
CCUUGGAGUUGGGCAUCAGAA